ensembl:lncRNA
GUAGUUAGAGGUGGUUUGUGCUGGUUUGCUCUGGUUAGAGGGGGUUUGUUGUGGUUAGAGGGGGUUUGUUGUGGUUUGUGCUGGUUUGCUCUGGUUAGAGGGGGUUUGUUUUGGUUAGAGGGGGUUUGUGGUGGUUUGUUGUGGUUAGAGGUGGUUUGUUGUGGUUAGAGGUGGUUUGUGGUGGUUUGUUGUAGUUAGAGGUGGUUUGUGGUGGUUUGUUGUAGUUAGAGGUGGUUUGUUGUGGUUAGAGGUGGUUUGUGCUGGUUUGCUCUGGUUAGAGGGGGUUUGUUGUGGUUAGAGGGGGUUUGUUGUGGUUAGAGGGGGUUUGUUGUGGUUAGAGGUGGUUUGUGGUGGUUU